UACGUAGGUGGCAAGCGUUGUCCGGAUUUACUGGGCGUAAAGAGCGCGCAGGCGGUCGUCCAAGUCGCGUGUGAAAGCCCCCGGCUCAACUGGGGAGGGUCACGCGAUACUGGUCGACUCGAAGGCAGGAGAGGGUAGUGGAAUUCCCGGUGUAGUGGUGAAAUGCGUAGAGAUCGGGGAGGAACACCAGAGGCGAAGGCGGCUCGCUGGACAGUUACUGACACUCAACUACGAAAGCGUGGGGAGCAAACAGG
rnacentral:rRNA from 1 species